GAGGAUGUGCUUUGAAGCCGUGAACUCCAGAGGCCUCAAGGGACAGACUCCAAGGCACAGUCCACUAGCGUGGUCAGUGUUCUUCAGACUCGCUUACACACAGGAGAGCGAAGGGUUAUUUAGAAAGAGGAGACAUCCUUGUUCACUGACAAACUUCUUGAAGCCUUUUUCUUUUUUUCAGGACAAACAACUCUUGAGUUGUCUGAGUGUGUCUGAGACUGUCUGUCCUACGUUUAGCUACUGCAGCUGUGCCAAGAAUGAACAGCAAAGCAAAGAGCUGCAAAAGCAUGGUCAUUUGUAUAUUUAUGAAAACAAUGGCUGCAUCUAUGAAUUUUGCCUCAAAUCAUCAACUAAAUGGAAUUUUAUGAGCCAGAUUCAUAUCUUAAUUUAUAUUCUGCAAAUGUCAUGAGGAAAAAUUUUAAAAUUCACAUCACUGGAUACUUGCCCCAUUUUUUGCUUUAAUUUCUUUUUAUAUAAAUGAAAUUUUCUCUCAGAGCAAAGGCUGAAGAUCCUGGUAGACCAUCCACAUGGUACAAACAUGGCAGAUUUUAAUAGCAUUUAACAACAAAUUUUUUCUUGGUCCUAAUAUUAAUGCUGGAAAAAAAUGACCUUUGAAAUAGUUUUCUAAAACUGUGAAAAACAAAGUUUGGAUUUUACCAAGUUAUAAAGUAGAGCAUAUUCCAUGGGGAGGUCUGUCAAGUAAUCAAGUAACUGAUGAUGUUUAAAAAGACUUUAGUAAUAUAAAAAGUAGAGAACACUUUUUUCCUUCGAAGUGCACCAGUGUCUGGUACAAGCUGACAGCGGUUUAUUAUAGUUUUUGAGUAGUGGAAAGAUUUUGACUUAUAAUGACAUGGUUGUGGCAGCCCAGGAAUAGAAUAGGUUUAAAGAUAUCUUAACCUCGGAAGGACACAAAAUAAAAGUGCUUGUCAUAUUUCUGAAGAGAUUCAAGUUUAAAGACUGGCAAAGUCCCUUCCCUUAGGGUGUGUGGCUGAGGGUCGAGAACAGGUUGGGAUGGGAUGGACCUGAGCCUGUCAGGAUAAUCCAUCUUGCUCUUUUCUCCCCUUCCGUGGUUUAUUGAUAAUGGCUCCAUCUCAGAAACGGGAGCCAAAUGCAAAGGAAAGGAAAGGAAAAAAUUUCUCAUCCCAAGAAAGGAAAAUGUUCCUGUCAAGAAUAAUAUAAACAAGUUUAAAAGCCACUGAAAAUGAAUUAUCAUUGAAAUCUUUGCUUUCUACUCACACGAUGCUGUUUUAGAUGUUUUACAAUCCCCAGGCAGAGGAAGGCUUCUUCUGUGUUCACCUCCUGAGCGCUCCCUGGCUCAGGCUGCUGCAUUCCGAAGCUGCCCACAGAGGGGAGGGUUUACUUAGGGCUGGUAAAUUCCCUGUGUGCAUGGACACUGAGCUCCAACAGCAGAUGCAAGGAGAAGCUAAAGGCAGGUAUUUGGUUAAGACAGUUAAGACACCCACAGGAAACCAGGCUGCUUGCCUGAGUCUGGCCUUAGAUGCCCGGCAGGAUGAGGGUCAGCGGUCCGGUGCUCGGCUGUUGCUGUACAUAUUUUGAUUUGUUGCCAUCCUGGCAAGCAAAAAGAGGCUCGUGGGUAUUUGAAUUUGAAUGCUCAUGGCACUCUUAUUAGUGAAAGCCCCAAACUUGAAAUGAUGCAGAUGUCCAGCAAGAGGU
rnacentral:lncRNA from 1 species